rnacentral:rRNA from 1 species
AAGAGGACUCUGGCCAGACUGCCGUUGACAAAACGGAGGAAGGUGGGGAUGACGUCAAAUCAUCAUGCCCUUUAUGACUUGGGCUACACACGUACUACAAUGGCGUUAAACAAAGAGAAGCAAGACCGCGAGGUGGAGCAAAACUCAGAAACAACGUCCCAGUUCGGACUGCAGGCUGCAACUCGCCUGCACGAAGUCGGAAUUGCUAGUAAUCGCAGAUCAGCAUGCUGCGGUGAAUACGUUCCCGGGCCUUGUACACACCGCCCGUCACACCAUGAGAGCCGGGGGGACCCGAAGUCGGUAGUCUAACCGCAAGGAGGACGCCGCCGAAGGUAAAACUGGUGAUUGGGGUGAAGUCGUAACAAGGUAGCCGUAGGAGAACCUGCGGCUGGAUCACCUCCUUUCUAAGGAG